rnacentral:misc_RNA from 1 species
AACGCACCUUGCGCUCCUUGGUAUUCCGAGGAGCAUGCCUGUUUGAGUGUCAUUAAAUUCUCAACCUCACCAGUUUUGUUAUGAAACUGUGUAAGGCUUGGAUGUGGGGGUUUGUGCAGGUUGCCUUUGCGCGGUCUGCUCCCCUAAAAUGUAUUAGCGAGUUCACUGAGCUCCGUCUAUUGGUGUGAUAAUUAUCUACGCCGUGGAUUGGACUUAGACUUGCUUCUAACCGUCCGCAAGGACAAUCUUAUGACAAUUUGACCUCAAAUCAGGUAGGACUACCCGCUGAACUUAA